UUGGCUUUAUGUGCUUGUAGUACAUCCGAUCAUCGCCAGUCGACAGGGCAGUGCAGCGAUGAGGCGAUAAUACUUGUUGGCUCCAAGUGCAUUUUGUAGUUCUUUCCACCACUGCCAUGAUUGGGAAGUGCUGCGACGAGGCGACAUUAAUUGAAAGGUGGGUUAUCAUCACGUUCGCAAAUUGCUACAUCUAUCCUGGGAGCUACCUGUCCUGUCGACGCUCAACGUUCACUAGGAGGACUACUAUUCCUCAUACAAGUUUAAUCACCAGUUUUACUUUGAUUUUUUUAAUUUCCUGAGCAUAGUUCUCUUGUAUUCUAUUAAUUUCCUGAGCAUAGUUCUCUUGUAUUUUGGCUUAUUGGAGUCUAUCUUGUUCCUGUCGACGCUCAACGUUCACUAGGAGGAUUACUUUUCCUCAUACAAGUUUAAUCGUAAGUUUUACUGUCCAGUACAUUCACCGUAAUCGAAUAUGUAAUUCCCUAAUAAUUCUAAUGUUUUUUAUUUAUAGGUUUCAAGAACUGUGAUUUUUUUAAUUUCCUGAGCAUAGUUCUCUUGUAUUUUUUUAAUUUCCUGAGCAUAGUUCUCUUGUAUUUUGGUUUAAUGGAGACUAUCUUGUUCCUGUCCACGCUCAACGUUCACUAGGAGGAUUACUUUUCCUCAUACAAGUUUAAUCAUAUUUUUCCGGAAGAUACAAAAUUCUGAACCAUUUAACACAUUGGAGUGGAAUAUUAACAUUACUCCACCUUUUCUUAGAGAUGGCUCCACCAGUACCUUUUUAUAGUGCUGUUUGGCCGGAAGUUGGACAAACCUGCUUUCGCCUGUAAUUAAAGAUCUGUGUCUAUACUUAGCUGGGCCGCAUGUGGCCCGUGGGCGAGUUUAACAAAAUUGUUGUAGCAACAAAUAAAUA